CGUUAAUUGUCCAAUUCACUUUACUAUAUAGGAUGCACUUGUACAUUUACUGUGAUAUGAUAACCGAAGGGGCAUUGUCCUCCUUGAAAAGUUAGUUAAGUAAAGGACUCCUAAUAUAGUGCCAUGGAGUCUGACUGUCUAUUCUAUCAUGUUAAUGCUAGCUUUACCUCACAUCGUCUGGAAUUUUCCCCUUAAAAGCAUCCCGUAUUUGAAGGAGGACUGCCCCAUUGUCCCAGGUUUUGUUGAACUCGAAAGCAUUCAGGAUGUGCCCGUUUUUGUACAACUCCUCCUUCUUCCGCUGCUUGACAACUAUGUCGUCUGUAGGACUAAACAGCAAAAUAACGUCCUUGUUAAAGGUCCGAUGGUACGGCGUUUUCUGUCGGACUCUGAAAAAAAAGUACAAGUCAAACAAGCUAACGUUAGCUACUUAGGCUAACACCAAUGCUAGCUAGCAAGCAACACUACGGUUACUAUGGAAUGCCGGUUAUCCUAAACAAUACAACAAAAAUAAUUCAACUUACUUUUGUCUUGGUUUGGAUUUCCAUGUGCUAUAAGUUGCCCUCGUUUCAUAGCGGGGACAACAGUUCCGUAUUUCGUUGCCUGGGGCUGGUGUGGUUUGCAUGCUGCUAGACCCGAGUUCGUAGAGAGACCUUAUUUCCAAAUUAACUGCUGCAUUCGAAGGUGUAGCUACAGAGCUAGUUAUGGAGUUUAUUAGCGUAGGUGAUACAGAGUUAGAAAUCAAGUUAAUUAGAGUAGGUGACUGAAGCAGGUUUCUGAGUAGGGAUACAGCUUCCGCUGUCACAAGUCUAUUGUCCGCUGCCAUACCAUUGACCGUUGGCCUUGGCUAAGAUUGGCGCUUUUUCACUACUUUGUUUCCGCCUUCCGGUGUAACUGAGAUGCCUUCCGGUGUAACUGAGAUGCCUUCCGGUGUAACUGAGAUGCUCUCGCGUUGUAUAGUGAAAUGCUCUCACACACACUAAUGAGAUGGCAUGAGUGUCUCAGUAGUGUGUGUGAGAGAGUAGAGUGUCUCAGUAGUGUGUGUGAGUGUGUCUCAGUAGUGUGUGUGAGUGUGUCUCAGUAGUGUGUGUGAGUGUGUCUCAGUAGUGUGUGUGAGUGUGUCUCAGUAGUGUGUGUGAGUGUGUCUCAGUAGUGUGUGUGAGUGUGUCUCAGUAGUGUGUGUGAGUGUGUCUCAGUAGUGUGUGUGAGAGUGUCUCAGUAGUGUGUGUGAGAGUGUCUCAGUAGUGUGUGUGAGAGUGUCUCAGUAGUGUGUUUGAGUGUUUAGUGUCUCAGUAGUGUGUGUGAGAGUGUCUCAGUAGUGUGUGUGAGAGUGUCUCAGUAGUGUGUGUGAGAGUGUCUCAUGUCUCAGUAGUGUGUGUGAGAGUGUCUCAGUAGUUAAGUCCUAAACGGACCCUCAUA
ensembl:lncRNA